rnacentral:rRNA from 1 species
AACGAACGCUGGCGGCAUGCCUAACACAUGCAGGUCGAACGAGACCUUCCUGUCUAGUUGCGCACGUGUACGUAACACGUGGGAACCUUCCCUUAGGUUCCGAAUAAUUCCCCUAAGGAUAUUCUAAUACCACAUAAUGUCUUCGGGCCAAAGAUUUAUCGCCUUUGGAUGGGCCCUCGUUGGAUUAGCUAGUUGGUAGGGUAAAAGCAUACUAAGCAUAUGAUCCAUAGUUGGUAUGAGAGGAUGACCUGCUAGGCUGGGACUACGACCCGGCCCACACUCCUACGGGAGGGAGCAGUGGGGAAUACUGGACACUGGGCGAAAGGCUAAUAAAGCCAUGCCGCGUAAGAGAUGAAGGCCGUAGGGUUGUAAAGUUGUUUUAAACGGAACGAUAAUGACAGUACCGGGAGAAUAAGCGCCGGCUAACUACGUG